GACGAACUUUGGCGGCGUGCUUAACACAUGCAAGUCGAACGGAAAGGCCCUGCUUUUGUGGGGUGCUCGAGUGGCGAACGGGUGAGUAACACGUGAGUAACCUGCCCUUGACUUUGGGAUAACUUCAGGAAACUGGGGCUAAUACCGGAUAGGAGCUCCUGCUGCAUGGUGGGGGUUGGAAAGUUUCGGCGGUUGGGGAUGGACUCGCGGCUUAUCAGCUUGUUGGUGGGGUAGUGGCUUACCAAGGCUUUGACGGGUAGCCGGCCUGAGAGGGUGACCGGCCACAUUGGGACUGAGAUACGGCCCAGACUCCUACGGGAGGCAGCAGUGGGGAAUAUUGCACAAUGGGCGGAAGCCUGAUGCAGCAACGCCGCGUGCGGGAUGACGGCCUUCGGGUUGUAAACCGCUUUCGCCUGUGACGAAGCGUGAGUGACGGUAAUGGGUAAAGAAGCACCGGCUAACUACGUGCCAGCAGCCGCGGUGAUACGUAGGGUGCGAGCGUUGUCCGGAUUUAUUGGGCGUAAAGGGCUCGUAGGUGGUUGAUCGCGUCGGAAGUGUAAUCUUGGGGCUUAACCCUGAGCGUGCUUUCGAUACGGGUUGACUUGAGGAAGGUAGGGGAGAAUGGAAUUCCUGGUGGAGCGGUGGAAUGCGCAGAUAUCAGGAGGAACACCAGUGGCGAAGGCGGUUCUCUGGGCCUUUCCUGACGCUGAGGAGCGAAAGCGUGGGGAGCGAACAGGCUUAGAUACCCUGGUAGUCCACGCUGUAAACGGUGGGUACUAGGUGUGGGGUCCAUUCCACGGGUUCCGUGCCGUAGCUAACGCUUUAAGUACCCCGCCUGGGGAGUACGGCCGCAAGGCUAAAACUCAAAGGAAUUGACGGGGCCCCGCACAAGCGGCGGAGCAUGCGGAUUAAUUCGAUGCAACGCGUAGAACCUUACCUGGGUUUGACAUGGAUCGGGAGUGCUCAGAGAUGGGUGUGCCUCUUUUGGGGUCGGUUCACAGGUGGUGCAUGCCUGUCGUCAGCUCGUGUCGUGAGAUGUUGGGUUAAGUCCCGCAACGAGCGCAACCCUUGUUCACUGUUGCCAGCACGUUAUGGUGGGGACUCAGUGGAGACCGCCGGGGUCAACUCGGAGGAAGGUGGGGAUGACGUCAAGUCAUCAUGCCCCUUAUGUCCAGGGCUUCACGCAUGCUACAAUGGCUGGUACAGAGAGUGGCGAGCCUGUGAGGGUGAGCGAAUCUCGGAAAGCCGGUCUCAGUUCGGAUUGGGGUCUGCAACUCGACCUCAUGAAGUCGGAGUCGCUAGUAAUCGCAAAUCAGCAACGCUGCGGUGAAUACGUUCCCGGGGC
rnacentral:rRNA from 1 species